rfam:Bacillus sp. WF146 contig079, whole genome shotgun sequence.
UCUAACUCUGUAUCCGAUUCGGCGGGGGAAGUGCCCGCCCGGAAUGAAAGUCGGCAUUCCUGCCUGAUCCUCCGACAUGCGCGGCCGAUUUGCCUCGGACGCGUAUGAAGCUCGGUGAAGCGCGGCGUCUUUGCUUCGGACAAAGGUGCCGGGGGGCCAUAAA